CGUAAAUCUCAGGGCGGGGUGGAAUUCCCCACCGGCGGUAGCGCGGGAGCGAUGAUUCCCGCGGAGCCCGCGACCCCCGUCGCCGCGACGGUUUCCCGGCGGCGGGGCUGACCCGGUCGAAGUCCGGGGCCGACGGUCACAGUCCGGAUGGGAGAGAUGAAAG
rnacentral:ncRNA from 2 species